UCUUAAAAACCUAAGUAUUGAAUCUUUGUUAGAAGAUACAAAGACAAAGACUCAUACGGACUUCGACUACACUAUCAAAGCUCUGAGAAGCAAGAAGAAGCUUGGUUAUUGUUUUGGAUUCGAAUAUGACUUGAUGUCAUGUGUAUGACUCAGUAUAAACACUAGAACCGCAACGGAUCUUAAAAGCAUAAGUAUUGUAUCAUUGUUAGAAGAUACAAUGACGAAGACUCAUACGGACUUCGACUACACCAUCAAAGCUUUGAGAAGCAAGAAGCAGUUGGUUAGUGUUUUGGAGUCGAAUAUGACUUGAUGUCAUGUGUAUGAGUGAGUAUAAAAACUAGAACCACAACGGAUCUUAAAAGCCUAAAUAUUGUAUCCUGGUUAGAAAAUACAUAGACAAUGUCUCAUACGAAAUUCGGCUAAACCAUCAAAGCUUUUAGAAGCAAGAAGAAGCUUGGUUAGUGUUUUGGAGUGAAAUCUAACUAGAUGUCAUGUGUAUGAGUGAGUAUACCAACUAGAACCACAAUUGGAAUUUUAAAAGCCUAAGUAUUAUAUCCUUGUUAGAAGAUACAAAGACAAACACUCAUACGGACUUUGGCUACACCAUCAAAGCUUUGAGAAGCAAGAAGAAGCUUGGUUAGUGUUUUGGAGUCGAAUAUGACUUGAUGUGAUGUGUAUGAUUGAGUAUAAGAAAUUAAACCGCAACCGGAUCUUAAAAGCCUAGGUAUUGUUUCCUUGUUAGAAGAAACAAAGGCAAAGCCUCAUACAAACUUUAGCUUUACCAUCAAAGCCUUGAGAAGAAAGAAGAAGCUUUGUUAGUGUUUUGGAGUCAAAUAUUACUAGAUGUCAUGUGUAUGAGUGAGUAUGACAACUAGAACCAUAACUGGAUCUUAAAAACCUAAGUAUUGAAUCUUUGUUAGAAGAUACAAAGACAAAGACUCAUACGGACUUCGACUACACUAUCAAAGCUUUGAGAAGCAAGAAGAAGCUUGGUUAGUGUUUGGGAUUCGAAUAUGACUUGAUGUCAUGUGUAUGACUCAGUAUAAACACUAGAACCGCAACGGAUCUUAAAAGCAUAAGUAUUGUAUCAU
rnacentral:sRNA from 1 species